rnacentral:rRNA from 1 species
AGUGAACGCUGGCGGCAGGCCUAAUACAUGCAAGUCGAACGGCAGCACAGUGGAGCUUGCUCCAUGGGUGGCGAGUGGCGGACGGGUGAGGAAUACAUGGGAAUCUGCCCAGUCGUGGGGGAUAACGUAGGGAAACUUACGCUAAUACCGCAUGCGCCCUUCGGGGGAAAGCCGGGGACCUUCGGGCCUGGCGCGAUUGGAUGAGCCCAUGUUCGAUUAGCUAGUUGGCGGGGUAAAGGCCCACCAAGGCGACGAUCGAUAGCUGGUCUGAGAGGAUGAUCAGCCACACUGGGACUGAGACACGGCCCAGACUCCUACGGGAGGUAGCAGUAGGGAAUAUUGGACAAUGGGCGCAAGCCUGAUCCAGCCAUGCCGCGUGAGUGAAGAAGGCCCUCGGGUUGUAAAGCUCUUUUGUCCGGGAAGAAAAGCAUCGGGCUAAUACCUCGGUGUUCUGACGGUACCAGAAGAAUAAGCACCGGCUAACUUCGUG